rnacentral:rRNA from 1 species
AUUGAACGCUGGCGGCAUGCCUUACACAUGCAAGUCGAACGGUAACGGGCCUUCGGGUGCCGACGAGUGGCGAACGGGUGAGUAAUGUAUCGGAACGUACCUUUCAGUGGGGGAUAACGUAGCGAAAGUUACGCUAAUACCGCAUAUUCUGUGCGCAGGAAAGCAGGGGAUCGCAAGACCUUGCGCUGAUUGAGCGGCCGAUAUCAGAUUAGCUAGUUGGUGAGGUAAAGGCUCACCAAGGCGACGAUCUGUAGCGGGUCUGAGAGGAUGAUCAGCCACACUGGAACUGAGACACGGUCCAGACUCCUACGGGAGGCAGCAGUAGGGAAUAUUGGACAAUGGGCGCAAGCCUGAUCCAGCCAUGCCGCGUGAGUGAAGAAGGCCCUCGGGUUGUAAAGCUCUUUUGUCCGGAAAGAAAAGCGCCGGGUUAAUACCCUGGUGUCCUGACGGUACCGGAAGAAUAAGCACCGGCUAACUUCGUG